UACGUAGGGGGCAAGCGUUGUCCGGAAUUAUUGGGCGUAAAGAGCGUGUAGGCGGCCAGAUAAGUCCGCUGUGAAAUCUCGAGGCUCAACUUCGAGCUGUCGGUGGAAACUAUCUGGCUAGAGUCCGGAAGAGGAGAAUGGAAUUCCUGGUGUAGCGGUGAAAUGCGCAGAUAUCGGGAAGAACACCCGUGGCGAAGGCGGCUCUCUGGGACGGUACUGACGCUGAGACGCGAAAGCGUGGGGAGCGAACAGG
rnacentral:rRNA from 1 species